UGUGGAAUCCUGAUGGGUGAAUGUAGCGUU
rnacentral:piRNA from 1 species